rnacentral:lncRNA from 1 species
CAUUUGUGCAAAUACAGUCUAUGACUCCUUUAUGAGUGUUCCUGAGAAAAUGUUAGUCAGUUUCUCUAUCAUGUUAGAUACUGUUUUCGAGUCUCAAUAGUUUCACACAAGUAUUGAUAUUAACAUGUAAAAAACUUCGCUCAUUUCAUUCAAAGAGAGACAUGAAAAAGAACUAUAUCGAUUAGAGCCAAAGUUUGAGAAGUUGGAAAGAUUUUGAUAUGUAGUUCAUUUGUAACCUCAAAUUUACUAGAAGUCGUUCUAAUAUUUAUGCUAAUAAAGCAUUAAUGCAUUAUUUGUAUAUUAAAUGAUUUGGAUCUGAUGAAAAUUUACAAACAAGAUUGUAUUUCAAAUUUUAUUUAUAAUUAUUUUGUGAGCAAUGGGAUGUUACAGUAUGGUGUGUUUGAUCACUCCACGCUCAGCAUAAGUUAA